rnacentral:rRNA from 1 species
AUGAUACGUCUACCUGCAGUGUCAGGAUAUCGUCUCCCUCCAAAGGAAAUUCAGGAAAUUGUGGAUGUGCCACCGAACCCCAGUUACCAUCUCUCCCCUCGCCGAGAUAGGAUCAUGUUCCUGAAACGUAGAGCUAUGCCUCCGUUGUCCGAGCUCGCAAAACCCGAUAAAAUACUUGCUGGCAUACGGAUCGAUUCCAGCUCUAACAUGAGGAGUCGAAUGUCCUUUUAUACUGGGAUUAGUAUCCAUUUGCUGAUGGAUGAUGGAAGUUUGGGUCCAGAGAAAGUGGUCCAUGGAUAUCCAGAUGGUGCAAAAAUUAAUUUUGUAACAUGGUCACCAGAUGGUCAGAAUGUGGCCUUCACUGUGCGUUAUGAAGAUGAGGUGGGCAGUGACAGCAAUUUAGCAUUGUGGGUUGCUAAUGCAGAAUCUGGAGAAGCUCGGCCACUUUUCAGACAAACAGACAUAAGACUGAAUGCUAUUUUUGAGCUAUUUGUGUGGGUGGAUCAUUCUACCCUGUUGGUCUGCACUAUUCCUUCAUCACGUGGUGAUUCUCUGAAGAAGCCAUUGGUUCCUUUUGGUCCAAGGAUUCGCUCCAAUGAGCAGAACAAUGUCAUCCAGAUGAGAGCCACAAAAGAAAUGCUGAAAGAUUUGCAUGAGGAAGAAUUGUUCGAUUACUAUGCAACCUCUCAGUUAGUACUGGUUUCGUUGGAUGGGAUAGUGAAACCAGUAGCUUCCCCUGCUAUAUAUACUUUCCUUAAUCCUUCACCAGAUGAAAAGUACUUGAUGCUCACCUGUGUUCACAAGCCAUAUUCUUCUAUAGUCUCGUAUAAAAGGUUUCCCAAGAAGGUUGAGUUGUGGACAGUUCAUGGUAGAUUUGUCCGCGAACUUUGUGAUCUACCCCUUGCUGAAAAUAUUCCAAUUGCAGCCAACAGCGUCCGUAGGGGAAAACGUUUAAUCAGGUGGAGGCCUGACAUGCCUUCUACCUUAUAUUGGGUGGAGGCACAAGAUGGAGGAGAUGCAAACGUUGAAGUCGCACCACGUGAUAUAGUUUACAUGGAACCUGCUGAGCCUUUAAAUGGAGAGAAACCUCAUGCCCUUAAACUUGAACUUCGGUAUAGAAGGAUCUCUUGGUGCUAUGGAUUGCAUGCACUGGUAUAUGAAUAUUGGCACAAGACAUGCAGAACAAGAACAUGGGUCAUCUCCCCUGAUUGCAAUGAUCUUAGCCCACGAUUAUUAUUUGAUAGAUCUUCUGAAGAUGCUUACUCAAGUCCAGGCUCUCCAAUGAUGUGCAGAACUCCCGCAGGCACCCUUGUCAUUGCAAAAAUUAAGACAAACUAUGAAGGGACCUAUAUCCUAAUGAAGGGACAGGGUGCCACACCAAAAGGAGGCAUCCCUUUUCUUGAUCUCUUAAACAUAACUACGGGAGCGAAAGAGCGGAUAUGGGAAAGUGGUGUAGACAAGUACUAUGAAUCUGUUCUUGCACUGAUGUCAUACCAUCCUAAAUGUGAAAUCCAGCUAAAUGAACUAAAAUUUCUCAUAUCGAAGGAGUCGAGAAGCGAAGCUGCCCAAUAUUAUGUUAGUAUCUGGCCUGAUAAGAAGCAAGUCCAGAUUACAAGUUAUCCCCAUCCAUAUCCUCAGCUGGCAUCAUUGCAGAGAGAAAUAAUCAGAUACGAGCGAGAUGAUGGUGUUAAACUUACUGCUACAUUGUAUCUGCCUCCAGGCUAUAAUCCAUCGAAAGAUGGGCCUCUUGCAUGCUUGAUUUGGUCUUAUCCUGGAGACUUUAAAAGCAGAGAGGCUGCUGGACAAGUCCGUCGUUCACCCAAUAAAUUGCACGCAUUAACAACAUUUCCUCUUCUUUGGUUAUCUAGAGGGUUUGCUGUUUUGGCUGACCCGACAAUCCCUAUAAUUGGUGAAGGAGACGAGGAGGCGAAUGACAGGUACAUAGAGCAGCUGAUUGCUAGUGCGGAAGCAGCGGUAAAUGAAAUUGUAAGAAGAGGGGUUGCUCACCCUGACAAAAUUGCUGUGGGCGGUCAUUCAUAUGGUGCAUUUAUGACUGCUAACCUCUUGGCACAUGCACCUCAUCUUUUCUGCUGCGGAAUCGCUCGCUCUGGAGCCUACAACAGGACACUGACUCCAUUUGGCUUUCAGAAAGAGGUGAGGACGCUCUGGGAAGCUGCCGAUACCUAUAUUAAGAUGAGCCCCUUCAUGAUAGCUAACAAAAUCAAGAAACCAAUUCUACUGAUACAUGGAGAAGAAGACAGCAAAGUUACAACAGCAAUGCAGUCAAGUCAAUUUUAUGAUGCUUUGAAAGGGCAUGGGGUGCCAUGCCGUCUUGUAAUUCUCCCAUUCGAGGGGCACCGAUAUGCUGCAAGGGAAAGCGUUCUGCAUGUAAUUUGGGAGACUGAUAGGUGGCUGCAGAAAUAUUGUGCAAGUAAUUCUAGCAGCACCCUGAUUAUCAAAUCCAGUGGUGAGUGGUGA